GAGAAAAUUCGGGAGGUGUAGUCAUAUGCUUGUCUCCUUCAGGAUUGACGGAAGAGUGUAGUCAUAUGCUUGUUUCCUUAAAGGAAUUGACGGAAGGGUGUAGUCAUAUUCUUGUCUCCUUCAUGCUUUGACGCCCGACUUCGGUCGUAUUGUUGUUUCCUUAUUAAAAAUCAAUGCCCUCUGGGCUCAUUGGUGAUUCAUAAUAACUUCGCGAAUCGCAUGGCCUUGUGCCGGCGAUGGCUCAUUCAAAUUUCUUCCCUAUCAACUUUCGAUGUUUGGGUAGUGGCCAAACAUGGUUGCAACGGGUAACGGAGGGUUAGGGCUCGACCCCGGAGAAGGAGCCUGAGAAACGGCUACUACAUCCAAGGAAGGCAGCAGGCGCGCAAAUUACCCAAUCCCGAUUCGGGGAGGUAGUGACAAUAAAUACUGAUACAGGGCUCUUUUGGGUCUUGUAAUUGGAAUGAGUACAAUUUAAAUCCCUUAACGAGGAACAAUUAGAGGGCAAGUCUGGUGCCAGCAGCCGCGGUAAUUCCAGCUCUAAUAGCGUAUAUUAAAGUUGUUGUGGUUAAAAAGCUCGUAGUUGAACCUUGGGCCUGGCUGGCAGGUCCGCCUCACCGCGUGUACUUUGCCGGCCGGGCCUUUCCCUCUGUGGAACCCCAUGCCCUUCACUGGGUGUGGCGGGGAAACAGGACUUUUACUUUGAAAAAAUUAGAGUGCUCCAGGCAGGCCUAUGCUCGAAUACAUUAGCAUGGAAUAAUAAAAUAGGACGUGCGGUUCUAUUUUGUUGGUUUCUAGGACCGCCGUAAUGAUUAAUAGGGACAGUCGGGGGCAUCAGUAUUCAAUUGUCAGAGGUGAAAUUCUUGGAUUUAUUGAAGACUAACUACUGCGAAAGCAUUUGCCAAGGAUGUUUUCAUUAAUCAGGAACGAAAGUUAGGGGAUCGAAGACGAUCAGAUACCGUCGUAGUCUUAACCAUAAACUAUGCCGACUAGGGAUCGGACGAUGUUAUUACUUGACUCGUUCGGCACCUUACGAGAAAUCAAAGUGCUUGGGCUCCAGGGGGAGUAUGGUCGCAAGGCUGAAACUUAA
rnacentral:rRNA from 1 species